rnacentral:miRNA from 1 species
CUCCCACCCGGUAGUGGUGCU